GACGAACGCUGGCGGCGUGCCUAAUACAUGCAAGUAGAACGCAGUUGCGCACGGGUGAGUAACGCGUCGGUAACUGCCUCAUAGCGGGGGGUAACUAUUUGAAACGAUAGCUAAUACCGCAUACUGUGAGAUGGACCUGAGUUGUGUUAGGUAGUUGGUGAGGUAAAGGCUCACCAAGGCGCCGAUACAUAGCCGACCUGAGAGGGUGAACGGCCACACUGGGACUGAGACACGGCCCAGACUCCUACGGGAGGCAGCAGUAGGGAAGCUUCGGCAAUGGACGGAAGGCCGACCGAGCCACGCCGCGGGAGUGAAGAAGGGUUUCGGAUCGUAAAGCUCUGUUGUUAGGGAAGCGGUACCUAACGAGAAAGGGACGGCUAACUACGUGCCAGCCGCCGCGGUAAUUC
rnacentral:rRNA from 1 species